GAAGUCGAUGAAGGCCUGGAAUGUCACUACUCCCAAGCGGUUAGGAUCUACAAUGCUCAUGAUGCGGGCAAACUCUGCUUCUCCCUAGAUAACGAGAGAGUCAGCAACAGGUCAGACUAUUGGUCUUCACUUCCCAAACCAAGCCUGGAACAUAGCCUCCCUCUUCAGAGCCAGCUGGCCUUGAGCAAACAGCCACUGUACAAAUGAAGACCUGGCCAGCGGUCUGAAGUGCAAACGACAGAGUUGGAGCCUUCCAAACUGGACCCCACAUGUUUCUAAAAGGGCUGUGCACCCCAAAGAACACACAAGACUGAUGUUUAAAGGGGUAAGGCCCAGCAGAAGCGCCUUGACACCAAAUUGCCUGAGAUAAGCUUUAAAGUAGAUGAGGGAAGAAGAAAGGAACAGCUCGCUAGAGUCUGUCUGAGCC